GCCGGCCUGCGGGGGUCCGUGCACGGCGGGUCUGCGCCGUCGGGCGGUGGAGCUGCGACGCCGCGUCCUGCACCGCCGCGUCCUGCACCGUGCCGCUUCCCAGGCGGGGAGAGCCUGCAGCACCGGGUCCCGGGGCCGGUUCCCGCGGCCGGCUCCCACGGAUGGUUCCCGCAGCCGGUUCCCGCGGCCGGUUCCCGCGGCGGGCUGGGGUGCGGCCGCGGCCCCGGCCCACGCUCCCCAUGCCCGGGCUCGGCCCCUGGCCGCCCGGUGCAGGAAGGAGUGAGCUGCCUGUAACCACAUCCCCAACACUCAUCCCAGAGGCAUCCCGGAGGGAUUAGCCGGGGAGCGUGGGCCGGCUUAGAGAGCAAGCAUCACUUCCUCCCCGGGCCCGGGCGGGCGGCCAGGCCUGCGCCGCUCUGCGCCGCGCCGGGGAGGAGGGCGGGAUGCCGCGGCCCCGCCAGCCCACGUCGGCAAACACAUGCGCGCGGGGAGCGGGGCCAAGCGGCGCCGGGCGGCCAGCGCUCCCCCGCUGCUCCGUCCCAGCCCGCCCGGCCUUUGGCUACCGGCUCCGAUAUUUCCAACAUGAUCUCACGGCUCGGCCUCCCCUCCCCGGCCCRCCCAGCCCCUCGCCUCCGGGCUGGGGACCGGCACGGGGAGCGCGGCCCUGCCGCCGCCGCGCUGGCCGUGCGUUGCUGCCCGCUGGGCGCCUGCCCGUGUGUUGCUGCCCCCCCUGCACACACGUGUGCAUGCACACGCAAGCGUGCACGCACAUGCAUGGAGGCACGCGCUGCUCUCCUGCGCGGCUGGUGCGUGUGCCCGCGCGGUGCCCCGGCAGGACGUCCCUGCGGGCGGCUGUCCCCAGGCCUUCCUGCCGCUACCUCCUGGGAGCUGGCAGGGCUCCCGSUGCCUGCACCCGGCUGCCGCCGCUGGGCAGCUGCCCGCACCAUCAGCGGGGCAGCCUGGCUCGCCCGGCCCCGGGGCAGCUCCCGCGGCUGUGCUGACCCCGUGCCGGCUGCCAGGGCACAGAGCGGGGCGGCCGUGGCGCAGCGAGCGGCUCGGCGCUGGCACGGGUGCAGAGCAGCGGCGCGGAUAGCCACGCGCGCGUGCCAAGCCUCCUGCAGUGCUCGCUGCCGUGCACCGGCGCACGCGUGCCCGGGAUGUGCGUGCGGGCCGGCGGGGUCACGGCGGGGCGGCAGCUGCCUCCUCGCACGGCGUGCGUGCACGAAGGACGCGCGUGUGCACGAGGGGUGCGUGCCCGAGGGCCGUGCGUGCACGAGUGGCGUGCGCUGGGAGCAUGCAUGCCGCACGGCCCUGCAGCAGGCGUGUGCAGCCGUGUGCGAGCGCCCGGGGGGAGCACGUUCGCGGGGGCGGCAGGGGCGCGCGUGCGGCAUCCCGCCCCUGACUCUCUUCCCUCGCAUCCGCAGCAGGGAGCGGACUGAUGGGGAACUCGCCCGCCUCGUCCUUCAUGGGGAGCUUCCUCACCAGCAGCCUGGGCUCGGGGGCGCCCAGCCACCCCUCGGGCCCCGCCGCGUCCCCCCCGGAGCCGGCUUUCCGCGGGCCGCACUCCGGCACCUCCCAGAUCUGGUUCUCGCAUUCCCACGAAGCUCCGGGGUACCCCCGCUUCUCCGGGAGCCUGGCUUCCACCUUCCUGCCCAUGAGCCACCUGGACCACCACGGGAACGGCAACGUCCUCUACAGCCAGCACC
ensembl:lncRNA